rnacentral:rRNA from 1 species
UACGUAGGGUGCAAGCGUUGUCCGGAAUUAUUGGGCGUAAAGAGCUCGUAGGCGGUCUGUCACGUCGGACGUGAAAAUCCAGGGCUCAACCCUGGACCUGCGUUCGAUACGGGCAGACUAGAGUUCGGUAGGGGAGACGUGGAAUUCCUGGUGUAGCGGUGAAAUGCGCAGAUAUCAGGAGGAACACCGGUGGCGAAGGCGGGUCUCUGGGCCGAAACUGACGCUGAGGAGCGAAAGCAUGGGGAGCGAACAGG